CUUUCUGCAAUUUCGAGUUCAGUUGUCAAUCAGCAUGAAUAUGCAAUUUUGGUUGAUAGAUGGCAUUCUACAAUUUCAGUUUAGUCGUCAAUGAGCAAGAACUUGGGAGUUUUGGUUGAUAGAUGGCAUCCGCGACUCGCUCUUUUUCUCCUUCAUCAUUCUAGGUAGGAAUAUCCAUCCUUUCUUCCGUGACGGUUCAAUUGCGUUUCCGCCAUCUUGGUCAGGAACAGUGCCAUCAGCCCAUCACAGCGCAAUCACGUGAUAUUCGGUCGGUACUUUUCAUCAAAUCUUGCGAGUUCGUAUAUUUCUCAAUCAUGGAACCCAUUUUGCGUGUGUACUAAUGACUCGGUCUCCGUUGGAAUUAUGAACGCAUGAGGUCACAGAAGAGAUCCAACAUUUAUAAUAAUAUAAAAACUUCGAACUGAUUAGUCCUCAGCUUCCAACAAACACUGGAAUAAGCAGUACAACUGUUUGAUAUUCAGCCACAUGAUGGGAUGAAGUUUUGUAGAAGUGAUCAUCUAUUUGAAUGAAAGGCCAAUAUAAUUCAAAGGAAAAGCUGAAACUUUGAAAAAAAAAAAUAAUAAUAAUGCACGCCGUAUCAAUUUCAAGGAAAAUUGCACCAUGAUAGUAAGCUGCAGUCAUUGCUACCGUCUCAAGUACGGCAAUUGCAAUUCCACUGGUUCAUGUUUUCUCUCUUGGCAUGAAAGUCGGCAGCUGCUGAAAGCUUAUUUUGUCUGAGCUACAGUUCAAAAUGUGUCAAUCUCAAUAUCUAUUGAUCUGAUAAUUUGCCGUGAGUCCGUUUCAUCCUUCCUUAUACCAAGUUGGAUUGUCCGUUAAUAAUUAAAUGCAUCCCUCCCCCUGUAUGGAUAAUUGCACCUUAAAGAAAAUAUGUAGAGAAUCGUCAAUACAAAAUUCCAUCACUUGUAACGAAACUUCAUCUCGCUAACUGUAAACCUGUUACUUCUGGAUCAUUUCCGGAAAAUGUGCAUAAAGGGUAUUUUUAAAAGGCAGUCUAACUAAAUAAUCAAGUCGAGCAUUCACUGAGAAUGGAUCUAAAUAUUCCAGAAUACCUAUUAAUUAUACAGGUUUUAACAAACCUUUGUUGUAUCAGAUUGAAAUCUAAAAGAUUGAAUGCUACUGUCGUCUGCAAUGUCUGCCAUUUCCUAUGUAAAUUGUAAUGUAAACAUGUAAACAUGCAAAAGCUUUUGCUGUCUUGAUUUUGAAAGUUUUUCCAUUCUUUUGUGCAUCUAUAGCAACAAAUAAGUAACAAAUGAUCAUUAUACUUAUCUAUGUGUUACUAUUUUGCUUUAUUGUUGCCUGUUAUGUUAACAAGCAAUGAUCAAUUGAAUAUAUAUAGCAAGCAAUUCAAUACUUCAAUUCUCAGAUUGUGCUUUGGAAAAUGCAAUCUUUUGAUUUGUCUAGGGUUAAAUGUCUCCCAGUUCUUCUUCAAAGCAUAGCAGAAAUAUUAUUGAUUCAAAAGGAUCAGCUCAUUUGUUUGAAGCAUGGGCCCACUUGUUAAGCUACUACUAUUUAAGAUAUUUCCUUGUUUGAACUCCUUGAGCCUUCAUUCAACAAGCAAAACUUUAUGACACAGCUGUUUGUGACUAGCUCUUUUUGAAAGAAGAUUGAAGAUAAGGAACAUGUUAUUGCCGUUUAGCAAAAGUUUCUAUUUUUAGAAUGAACAGCUAUUUUACAGAAGUAGCACCCCGUCUUGUGUCAGUUUCAUCGUUAUGGUUCCAGAAAUACCAGGAAAAGACCCAAGCUAGUUAUCUUUUUUAAAAAUGUGCAAUUUUUUAAACCACAGUAAACCAAAAACUUAGAAAUUUUUUA